UACGUAGGGUGCAAGCGUUGUCCGGAAUUAUUGGGCGUAAAGAGCUCGUAGGCGGCCUGUCGCGUCGGAUGUGAAAGCCCGGGGCUUAACUCCGGGUCUGCAUUCGAUACGGGCAGGCUAGAGUUCGGUAGGGGAGAUCGGAAUUCCUGGUGUAGCGGUGAAAUGACGCAGAUAUCAGGAGGAACACCGGUGGCGAAGGCGGAUCUCUGGGCCGAUACUGACGCUGAGGAGCGAAAGCGUGGGGAGCGAACAGG
rnacentral:rRNA from 1 species